rnacentral:rRNA from 1 species
GACGAACGCUGGCGGCGUGCUUAACACAUGCCAGUCGUACGGUAAGGCCCUUUCGGGGGUACGCGAGUGGCGAACGGGUGAGUAACACGUGAGUAACCUGCCCACAACUUUGGGAUAACGCUAGGAAACUGGUGCUAAUACUGGAUAUGUGCUCCUGCUGCAUGGUGGGGGUUGGAAAGCUCCGGCGGUUGUGGAUGGACUCGCGGCCUAUCAGCUUGUUGGUGGGGUAGUGGCCUACCAAGGCGGCGACGGGUAGCCGGCCUGAGAGGGUGACCGGCCACAUUGGGACUGAGAUACGGCCCAGACUCCUACGGGAGGCAGCAGUGGGGAAUAUUGCACAAUGGGCGCAAGCCUGAUGCAGCAACGCCGCGUGCGGGAUGACGGCCUUCGGGUUGUAAACCGCUUUCAGCAGGGACGAAGCUUUUUGUGACGGUACCUGCAGAAGAAGCACCGGCUAACUACGUG